GGGGCGCCCCCGGCCUGAGACUCCCUGGAAGCCUCGUCCGCGAGUCGCGGACUCGGGGCCCGGAGGGCGGCGGGAGGUCCUGCGCUGCGGUGCGGCUAUAGCGCCCGCGCUCCCCGCGGAAGAACCGCCGAGUCGAGCGCUGAAGGUGUGGCCCACCAGCAGGAGUGUCAGAACGUGCCGAGCCGCUCGAGUCGGAGUCGCCAGAACCCCCGGAAGACGAGCCGUUCACCGGCAGGCCAACUGGGGCUCCUUCGUGUAGUGGACUGUCAGCCAAGCGUCGGGAACGCAGUGUCGUGGGUGUGCGGCUGACCGGGUGAGGAGGAUCUUUCACAGAGACCGUGCCCCUCCGUGGAGUCCAGGAACAGGGCUGCACCUGCAGCAUAUGGAGGUUCCCAGGCUAGAGGUCAAAUCAGAGGUACAGCUGCCAGCCUACGCCACAGCCACGGCACCUCGGGAUCUGAGCCGCAUCUGUGACCUACAUCACAGCUCACAGCAACGCCGGAUCUUUAACCCACUGAGCAAGGCCAGGCCUCGAACCUGCAUCCUCAUGGAUACUAGUCGCCUUUGUUAACCACUGAGCCAUGAUGGGAACUCAUAUAAUUCCUGAUACAAUGUAAAGGCCAUGUAAAUAGUUGGCAGCACAGGACAAAUUCAAGUUUUGUUUUUUGGAAAUUCGUUUCAAAUAUUUUCCACCCAAAGUUGGUUGAAUCCAUGGAUGAGGUACCCACGGUUAGGAAGAGAUGACUGUACUAUAAUUACCUGCUCAUGUGGCUGUUUAUCCCACUACUGUGUGGGAUUCUUUUUUUCCUUUUUGGCCACCCCUUGCCAUGUGGAAGUUCCCCAGCCUGUGCCACAGCAGCGGCAAUGCCAAAUCCUUAACCCAUUCAGCCCCAGGGAGCUCCCACUGUGGGAUUCUUAACAUAGGGUAUUGUCUUAAUCAUCUCAAUGCCCAGCCACUCUCAGGUCAAUUACUAAUGUUUCCUUGACAGUCAUGUACUAAGAGCUGGGCAUGUUUCACCACUGAUUCCUUGCCAUAAGCCUUUAAUGUAGGCGCUGAGUUGGUGUCACACCACUUUCAACAGAUAAGUGAUCCUCUCCAGGUGACACAGGUAGUAAAUGGUGGAGCCAGUCUCAGGUUUAGCCAUCCUGCCUUCUUUUCUGAGUCCAUGAAGGAAUGGAAAGUCUAGACACAGCUGAUGCUGUGGGUCCUGAGCAAGUUCCCUUUCCCAGGCUUAGUUGUAUCACGUUUCGUCAUCUCUUUUUAAGUUUUAGUCAUAUUUUUGUUUUUGUCCUUUUAGGGCCGCGCCUGCAGCAUAGGGAAGUUCCCAGGAUGGGGUCUAAUCAAGAGCUGUAGCCACCGGCCUAUGCCACAGCCACAGCCACCUGGGAUCCGAGCCGCGUCUUCAACCUACACCGCAGCUCACAGCAACACUGGAUCCCCAAGCCACUGGGCGAGGCCAGGGAUCAAACCCACAACUUCAUGGUUCCUAGUCGAAUAUGUUUCUGCUGCACCAUGAUGGGAACUCCUGUACCCUUGUCUUUAAGAGAUAAAACCUCCUUAGAAGAUUAGAAAGGCGGACUCUUCUUCCCCUUCCCAGUGUCCGUGCUGGCAGCUAUUUGCUUUCCUGUAAUAAAGACUUGCUUGCUCGC
rnacentral:lncRNA from 1 species